rnacentral:ncRNA from 1 species
GGAUCUGAAAUCAGGUGGGAUUACCCGCUGAACUUAAGCAUAUCAAUAAGCGGAGGAAAAGAAACUAACAAGGAUUCCCCUAGUAACGGCGAGUGAAGAGGGAAAAGCUCAAAGUUGGAACCUGUUUGGCUUAGCUAAACCGGAUUGUAAACUAAAGAGCCGUUUUCCAGACGAGCUAAGCAAAAAAGUCCCUUGGAACAGGGCAUCAUAGAGGGUGAGAAUCCCGUCUUUGGCUUAAGCGAUUUCGUCUUUAUGUGAUACGGCUUCAAAGAGUCAGGUUGUUUGGGAAUGCAGCCUAAAGUGGGUGGUAAAUCUCAUCUAAAGCUAA